GUAAUCUUGUUGUUAAAGAGUUUCAAAGACCACAUUUUCCUUCGUUGAUGUAUAAUUUUAAUAAAUAUAAUUACACCAAUUUAUAUUUUUUUGUGUAGUUAUCCAGUAAUAUUCAUUACCAUAUGCUUUCUUACACAUAUAUACAACAACCACGCAUAUAAAAAUAUACAAAUAAUACAAAUUCAUUCUCAACAAAAAUUCAUUGUUCAUUACAAAGAACCGAAGGAUGAUAAUGUCUAUUAAUAUACCCAUUCAAAUUGCAUGAUACUAUUUUUAUCAACUCCUAAAAAUAGACACUAGAACUGUAGCACAAUGUUCAAAUGAAAAUCUUUAAACCACUGCCAACACAACAGAAACUCUAUUUUGCUUCAACUUGCUCCGCACAUUCUUCAAGCAUAGGUUCUUCAGACUUCCAAGUUCCUGGUCUGUUAAAAGAAGUCAUGUUACUUUAGUGAAAAAAAAUCCUACUAGCUACUUUAUUUAGAAAACAAAUGAAUAAUUUAAUCACCAAAUCAACUAAACAAUUGGCGUAAAAUAUAUUUGAUUAAAUGGAUGCUGCCAAUGAAUAGUUUUUAAAAGUUUAUCUUUUAUAUUCAAGUAUGAUGAAAUUAAGAUUUCAAGUCAGAAAAGUUCUAAAAUUUUAAUGCAGAGUAAGAUUGAUAAUCUGGCUACUGUUUAAAUAACCAAGAAGUGCAGCAAAAAGUAAGUACAAAAUCCCAAGAUAAAUAGAACGGAUCAUAAAUGAUCAAUGCUGAGAAAAAUUUGGAACAACUUAGUAAUCCAUGUUUCCUUCAAUUCAAUGAUACAAGUAACAACAACAAACCAGUAUAAUCCCACUUAGUGGGGUAACCCCACUUAAUGGGAUUGGGGAGGGUUAGUAUGUAUCCAAAACCUUACCCCUACCCUGGGAUAGAAAGGCUGUUUACAAAUAGACCCUCGGCAUCCUUCCCUCCCAAGAACUUCUCACCUUGCUCUUGGGGAGACUCAAACUCACAACCUCUCGGUUGCAAGUGGAGGUUGCCAACCUAGAUAUCUCCUUUCUUAAAUGGUACAGCAGCUGGGAAUGCGCCAUUAUUUUCUAUGUAAACUAAAGAGAUUGUAUGAUUCAACUACAGGCUACACUAUGAAAAUUACAAUUUAAAUAGAUUUACUUUAAGUUUUAACAAGAGAGAAGAUAGAUAAAGUAAUGAUAAGGUCAGGAUAUGGUCAUAUAUCCAUAGUAGGUAACUUCUGUUAUUUGAAUACCAGUCUAGACAGCACACUCCUUAUUUGAAUCCCAGUCUAUAGAACAAACACCUUGUUUGAAUCCUAAAUCCAGGCCUCACAAUUCAAUUGGCAACUUCAGACAAACUCAUGACCAAGUAAAAUUAUUAGUGGUUGCACGACUCAGUAGCCAUUCAGACCUCAUAAGAAAAUUUUAUCUUAUAAAGAAUGGAUACAACUUUUGUUGCUGUAGCUAUAACCGGUAAGAUUUUAGAUUUAUCUAUAUAUGAUCAACUCAUUAUUUCAAGAACCAGAGUACAAGUUCAUAUCAUCCAGCAUGGACCAUUCAUAUAAGAAUGGUCGAAAUAAAAAAUAUUUCAGAAAAUGUACACACCACUUAAUAUUGCAAUAUGCGUGCAGAUAUAAUCAGAUAUUACGAGUUUUCGCAACUACAAAAAGUGAUAGAGGGUUUAAAGUUUAAACUUUUCAACCAGAAAACAAGAAAACACGUCCAUUCGAUAUGCAUGUAGUGUUAUAAUCAGAUAUCACCAGUUUCCACAUCUACAAAAAUUAAUAAAGGGCAUCAACUUUUAUACCAGAAAAUACUUUUCCAUCCACACCAAAAUAAAAGGAACAGAAAAAGAUUCUUCUGACAGCUACUACUCUCAGCAGA
rnacentral:lncRNA from 1 species